rnacentral:rRNA from 1 species
UACGGGGGGGGCAAGCGUUGUUCGGAAUUACUGGGCGUAAAGGGCUCGUAGGUGGCCAACUAAGUCAGACGUGAAAUCCCUCGGCUUAACCGGGGAACUGCGUCUGAUACUGGAUGGCUUGAGUUUGGGAGAGGGAUGCGGAAUUCCAGGUGUAGCGGUGAAAUGCGUAGAUAUCUGGAGGAACACCGGUGGCGAAGGCGGCAUCCUGGACCAACACUGACACUGAGGCACGAAAGCUAGGGGAGCAAACAGG